AGGACGAACGCUGGCGGCGUGCUUAACACAUGCAAGUCAAGGGGGCCCAGCAAUGGGCAACCGGCGAACGGGUGCGUAACACGUGAGCAACCUACCGAAAUGUGGGGGAUAGCCGGCCUAACGGCCGAGUAAUACCGCAUACGCUCUCGAUGAGGCAUUUCAUUGAGAGGAAACCUACGGGACAUUUCGAGGGGCUCGCGGCCUAUCAGCUAGUUGGAGAGGUAACGGCUCACCAAGGCAACGACGGGGUAGCUGGUCUGAGAGGAUGGCCAGCCACAUUGGGACUGAGAUACGGCCCAGACUCCUACGGAAGCAGCAGGUGGGGAAUCGUUGCGACAAUCGG
rnacentral:rRNA from 1 species